rnacentral:rRNA from 1 species
GACGAACGCUGGCGGCGUGCUUAACACAUGCAAGUCGAGCGGUAAGGCCCUUUCGGGGGUACACGAGCGGCGAACGGGUGAGUAACACGUGGGCGACCUACCCUCAGCUUCGGGAUAAGCCUGGGAAACUGGGUCUAAUACCGGAUAUGACCUUCCCUCGCAUGGGGGGUUGGUGGAAAGUUUUUUCGGUCNGGGGAGUGGGCCCGGCCGGCCUAUCAGCUUGUUGGUGGGGUGGAUGGCCUACCAAGGCGACGACGGGUAGCCGGCCUGAGAGGGCGACCGGCCACACUGGGACUGAGAUACGGCCCAGACUCCUACGGGAGGCAGCAGUGGGGAAUAUUGCGCAAUGGGGCGGAAGCCUGACGCAGCGACGCCGCGUGGGGGAU